rnacentral:rRNA from 1 species
GACGUAGGGUCCGAGCGUUGUCCGGAGUUACUGGGCGUAAAGGGCGCGUAGGCGGUUCCAUGCGUCACACGUGAAAGCCCCUGGCUCAACCAGGGAGGGUCGUGUGAAACGGGGGAACUGGAGGCAGAGAGAGGCUGGUGGAAUUCCCGGAGUAGUGGUGAAAUGCGUAGAUAUCGGGAGGAACACCAGUGGCGAAGGCGGCGAUCUGGGAAGAUACUGACGCUGAGGUGCGAAAGCGUGGGGAGCAAACAGG